UGAGGGACGGAGAAGGCUAGGCCAGCUUGGCGUUGGUUGUCCAAGUUUAAGGUGGUAGGCUGGAAUCUUAGGUAAAUCCGGGAUUCUAAGGCCGAGAGCUGAUGACGAGUGUUCUUUUAGAACACGAAGUGGUUGAUGCCAUGCUUCCAAGAAAAGCUUCUAAGCUUCAGGUAACCAGGAACCGUACCCCAAACCGACACAGGUGGUUGGGUAGAGAAUACCAAGGCGCUUGAGAGAACUCGGGUGAAGGAACUAGGCAAAAUGGCACCGUAACUUCGGGAGAAGGUGCGCCGGUGAGGGUGAAGCAUUUACUGCGUAAGCCCAUGCCGGUCGAAGAUACCAGGCCGCUGCGACUGUUUAUUAAAAACACAGCACUCUGCAAACACGAAAGUGGACGUAUAGGGUGUGACGCCUGCCCGGUGCCGGAAGGUUAAUUGAUGGGGUUAGCUAACGCGAAGCUCUUGAUCGAAGCCCCGGUAAACGGCGGCCGUAACAAUAACGGUCCUAAGGUAGCGAAAUUCCUUGUCGGGUAAGUUCCGACCUGCACGAAUGGCGUAACGAUGGCGGCGCUGUCUCCACCCGAGACUCAGUGAAAUUGAAAUCGCUGUGAAGAUGCAGUGUAUCCGCGGCUAGACGGAAAGACCCCGUGAACCUUUACUAUAGCUUUGCACUGGACUUUGAAUUUGCUUGUGUAGGAUAGGUGGGAGGCUUUGAAGCGUGGACGCCAGUUCGCGUGGAGCCAACCUUGAAAUACCACCCUGGCAACUUUGAGGUUCUAACUCAGGUCCGUUAUCCGGAUCGAGGACAGUGUAUGGUGGGUAGUUUGACUGGGGCGGUCUCCUCCUAAAGAGUAACGGAGGAGUACGAAGGUGCGCUCAGACCGGUCGGAAAUCGGUCGUAGAGUAUAAAGGCAAAAGCGCGCUUGACUGCGAGACAGACACGUCGAGCAGGUACGAAAGUAGGUCUUAGUGAUCCGGUGGUUCUGUAUGGAAGGGCCAUCGCUCAACGGAUAAAAGGUACUCCGGGGAUAACAGGCUGAUACCGCCCAAGAGUUCAUAUCGACGGCGGUGUUUGGCACCUCGAUGUCGGCUCAUCACAUCCUGGGGCUGAAGCCGGUCCCAAGGGUAUGGCUGUUCGCCAUUUAAAGUGGUACGCGAGCUGGGUUUAGAACGUCGUGAGACAGUUCGGUCCCUAUCUGCCGUGGACGUUUGAGAUUUGAGAGGGGCUGCUCCUAGUACGAGAGGACCGGAGUGGACGAACCUCUGGUGUUCCGGUUGUCACGCCAGUGGCAUUGCCGGGUAGCUAUGUUCGGAAUAGAUAACCGCUGAAAGCAUCUAAGCGGGAAACUAGCCUCAAGAUGAGAUCUCACUGGGACCUUGAGUCCCCUGAAGGGCCGUCGAAGACUACGACGUUGAUAGGUUGGGUGUGUAAGCGCUGUGAGGCGUUGAGCUAACCAAUACUAAUUGCCCGUGAGGCUUGACCG
rnacentral:rRNA from 1 species